AUUUACAGCCAUAGCACCCUGAGAACGCCCCAUCUGGUCUGAUCUGGGAAGCUAAGCAGGGUCGGGCCCGGUCAGUGCUUGGAUGGGAGACCAGCUGGGAAUAGCGGGUGCUGUGGGCU
rfam:Patagioenas fasciata monilis isolate BTP2013 Sc31e1R_82, whole genome shotgun sequence.